AUUGGUCUUAAAAAAAAAUGGGCAGAGUAUCUGCACAGACACUUUUCCCAAGAAGAUGUACAAAUGGCCAACAGAAAUAGAAAAAGACUUCAACUUCACUAGCUACUAGGGAAAUGCAAAUCAAAACGGCAGCAAGAUAGCACC